rnacentral:rRNA from 1 species
AUGAGCAGGGAGGAGCACAUGCUGCUGCUGUUGGUCAGUGCGGGGAGGAGCACGGGCAGAGGUCAAUUGGCCGGAUCCGGAGCUCCAGUGCCUGAAUCGAGGAGCUGGAAGGCUGAGGCAGGAGGAGGAGGAGCACAGGCUGCGCUGCUGCUGCUGUUGGUCAGUGUGGGGAGGAGCAUGGACGGAGGUCAAUUGGCUGGAUCCGGAGCUCCUAUGCCUGAAUCGAGGAACUGGAAGGCUCAGGCAGGAGGAGGAGGAGCACGGGCGGCGCUACUACUGGUCGGUGCAGGGAGGAGCACGGGCGGUGCGAAGGCCAGGAGUCAUGGGCGGCACGACGGCCAGGAGUCAUGGGCAGCUGGAGGCUGUGGCGGACGGCGAGGGAGCUGUGUACGAGUUUGGGCUCUCGAUUGGAGCGGAGGAAGGCGGCCGGCGAGGGAGCUACGGCCGGCGCGGACGGACGCUGGAGCUGCAGCAGUGGGGUGGAGCCUGGCGGAGGGGAGGAGCGAUGGAGGAAGACGAAGAUCCCCGGCGACAAGAAAUUCAAAUUUAGGGUAG